rnacentral:rRNA from 2 species
CGACCUCAGAGUAGGU